GUGACCACUUCGGCAGCACAUCUAUACUAAAGUUGAAACAAUACAGAAAAGAUUAGCAUGGCCCCUGUGCAAGGAUGACAUGCACACACACAAAAAAAGAAAAUAUCUAA
ensembl:snRNA U6 U6 spliceosomal RNA